GCAGAAGUAGACCGGGUAGUUACCUGUGCUUUAUCAAAGUCUCGGGGUGGCUUUUGGAUUUCUGUUAUCAAUCUAAUCAUUUAUUUAAGUAAAAUGCCAUCCUGUUAAAAUAAAUGCUGAGUAAUGAAUAUGUUUCGUUCGAACACUUGUACCUUAGGUGUCUUAAUCGAUUGCGGAUAUCAAUAUAUCUCUAAGUACUUUCACAAAUAAAUCAUAAAGCAUUCGGCAGCUUUCUUCUAUAAUCACUUCAAUCAUUGCGUUGAAUAGCUCUACCUGUCCUUUUUAUCUGCAUAGGAAUUAAACUCCACAGAUUUAAGAAGACUUUGACGGGUGCACUUUGUAUAAUCCAAUAUGGUUGUACUAGGACUACACAUCAUUGUUCCACAAUUGCUGGUGUUCGCUCUGGUUUUGUCUCUGGGGAUUCUCCUGAUCGUGAUUGGCUUUGCUAUAAUGAUCACGUGUCCUGGUCUGGCAGACAAGAAACAGGGAAGUUUCUCCAAAUGAAAUGAACAGUCAACAACCUGUGUGACAUUGAAUCUGUUUCUGCCUAGCUAUGUCUAGUGUAAUCUUACUUAACUGUAUAUUCUCAUUUUUUGUACAUGUACAUGUAUGUAUUUGAUUGGUGAAUUUAAAUUGUGGUAAAUACAACA